UUUAUUACAGUAAAUUUUUUUUGUUUCAACAUUUUUAUCGAGUAUAGUUUCAUCAUAACAGUCAUCUGUUUCGUAUGCAAAUUAUAAAUUUUUUUUGGAAAAUUUGUUGUUUGUAUCUUGUUUGUCAUAAACAAGCAGACCUCACUAAAAUAACAGAAAUCAGAGCUUGGAAAAAUAAGGGAAGGAUUUUUAAUUUUCCCUGAAACUGAUAGCGCUUAUCGAAGUUAAAGGAUCUUUUUGAGUUAAGCGGAAUACAUGAAUUCUUGUGUGCACUGUUUGGAGCGCUGAAGCCAUAAUUUGAAGUAUUCAGCUAAAUCCUUUACUUGAAAUUUGUAAAUUUUGAUUGACGCUGGAUACAAAAAUAUUUGAAUUGCCAAAUUAUAAGUAAACCACUGUUGAUUUUGUAUUCAUCUUACUUAACACACAUCGCGAAAUUAGUCAGAUUUCGUUUAUCGCAGCAAUGGAGUUCUUGAGAACCUUAAAAAACAUGAUUAUAGAACCACUACUAGAUUUAGUUCAGCCAGUUACUGAAGAAAGUUCGCAAAAAAAUUCUAAUCAAAAAGCUCUACGAGGCAAACAGAAGUACGAGACUAAGAAUAAACGUCAACGUAAGCGCAAGACCGAAUUAAAAUAUAAAAAGGGAUCGGGAAAAAACAGAAAGAAAUCUAUGUAUGUUGGAAAACCGCAAAGUUAUAUGCGUCUACGAAAGAAUUCUUCGUCACAUAAACCCAAUAGAAAAUGUAACAAGAAUGUCAAGUUCACAGGCAUUUCUCGUGCAACCCCAGUUCUCACACGUUCAAGACAUAGACUGUGUCCAAGCGAAAUGUUUGUUGAGUUAGUAAAUGGCGUUGCAAAAACUUGCUCCUAAUAAAGUGAUCAAGUAAAUGGACGAAAUAGGCUUGACUGACAUCUUAGGUUGCCUUUUUUAAAGAACUUUUACUGAGAUGCCAAAGCUUCAAAAUUAGCUGUACAAACUUGACGACUAUGUUACUAAAACCUAUUUAUGUUUUGGCAAUUUACCCAACUGCAAAAAUAAUGGACUGGAUGUACUUUAUUACCUUUUAAUUCGCAAUUGCUUCAAGGUCUCCAAAUUCUAAUAUAAUUGAUCCAAGCGCUUCAGAUAUUACAAAUAAUACUACAAAAUUAAUACACAGUAUUUUUGGAGUACCCAAAUUGGAUAAAUUUUUAUUAUAUUUUUACCAUUUGCUAUUUUAUGUGACCUACCUCAUUUAUAAUUAAUUUUUGGGAAAUUUUUAAAAUAAAUCUGUCAUGGAGAACCCAAAACUGGAAAAAAAACUAUAAUAUAUUGGAGCUGAAUCAGAUACAUUGAUUGGAAUAUAUAAUCAGAUUAUAAAUUUUGAACUUGAAAUUUUGAACUCAUUUAUUUUAUUUUUUGAUACUACACAAAAUGCAACUGAUGAAUAGGGCGGGGAUGCGUUUAUUUUUUCCAUUUUUUUUCGAGCAACAACAGUCUUUCAAAUACGACUAAAAUAAAUAACAAAUACGAAUGAAAACUAAAAAAAGGCGCCUUAAAUGACGAAUCGAUAUACUUCCAAUUGGAUAUUGUAUAUGCAUUGAAUAUUGUGUAAUAGUGGGUAAUCGUCUAAAUACUUAACAAGAAUUUAUACAUGCCGUCUACACGCUUCAACUAGGACAUCCAUUUUUUGCAUUUUGCAUUUCCAUCAAAAAUCUAAUCAGAAUUAUAUGUCAACUUCUUGGUAGGUUACAUUUAAACUCUCCAAAUCAAAAGCCCGAUAUCUAGAAAACCCAGUUAUAUUGGUAUUAAACAUCAC